CCCUUAGAUGUUCUGGGCCGCACGCGCGCUACACUGAUGCAUUCAACGAGUCUAAAACCUGGUCUGAUAGGGCUGGGUAAUCUUUUGAAAGUGCAUCGUGAUUGGGAUAGAUGAUUGCAAUUCUUCAUCUUCAACGAGGAAUGCCUAGUAAACGCAAGUCAUCAGCUUGCAUUGAUUACGUCCCUGCCCUUUGUACACACCGCCCGUCGCUCCUACCGAUUGAGUGGUCCGGUGAGGCUUUGGGAUCUGAGCGGAAAGAGCGUUUCGCUGUUUCUGCUCGGAAAACUCAGUCGAACCUUAUCAUUUAGAGGAAGGAGAAGUCGUAACA
rnacentral:rRNA from 1 species